rnacentral:rRNA from 1 species
GAUAAACGCUGGCGGCGUGCCUAAUACAUGCAAGUCGAGCGAACGGACGAGAAGCUUGCUUCUCUGAUGUUAGCGGCGGACGGGUGAGUAACACGUGGAUAACCUACCUAUAAGACUGGGAUAACUUCGGGAAACCGGAGCUAAUACCGGAUAAUAUUUUGAACCGCAUGGUUCAAAAGUGAAAGACGGUCUUGCUGUCACUUAUAGAUGGAUCCGCGCUGCAUUAGCUAGUUGGUAAGGUAACGGCUUACCAAGGCAACGAUGCAUAGCCGACCUGAGAGGGUGAUCGGCCACACUGGAACUGAGACACGGUCCAGACUCCUACGGGAGGCAGCAGUAGGGAAUCUUCCGCAAUGGGCGAAAGCCUGACGGAGCAACGCCGCGUGAGUGAUGAAGGUCUUCGGAUCGUAAAACUCUGUUAUUAGGGAAGAACAUAUGUGUAAGUAACUGUGCACAUCUUGACGGUACCUAAUCAGAAAGCCACGGCUAACUACGUGCCAGCAGCCGCGGUAAUACGUAGGUGGCAAGCGUUAUCCGGAAUUAUUGGGCGUAAAGCGCGCGUAGGCGGUUUUUUAAGUCUGAUGUGAAAGCCCACGGCUCAACCGUGGAGGGUCAUUGGAAACUGGAAAACUUGAGUGCAGAAGAGGAAAGUGGAAUUCCAUGUGUAGCGGUGAAAUGCGCAGAGAUAUGGAGGAACACCAGUGGCGAAGGCGACUUUCUGGUCUGUAACUGACGCUGAUGUGCGAAAGCGUGGGGAUCAAACAGGAUUAGAUACCCUGGUAGUCCACGCCGUAAACGAUGAGUGCUAAGUGUUAGGGGGUUUCCGCCCCUUAGUGCUGCAGCUAACGCAUUAAGCACUCCGCCUGGGGAGUACGACCGCAAGGUUGAAACUCAAAGGAAUUGACGGGGACCCGCACAAGCGGUGGAGCAUGUGGUUUAAUUCGAAGCAACGCGAAGAACCUUACCAAAUCUUGACAUCCUUUGACAACUCUAGAGAUAGAGCCUUCCCCUUCGGGGGACAAAGUGACAGGUGGUGCAUGGUUGUCGUCAGCUCGUGUCGUGAGAUGUUGGGUUAAGUCCCGCAACGAGCGCAACCCUUAAGCUUAGUUGCCAUCAUUAAGUUGGGCACUCUAAGUUGACUGCCGGUGACAAACCGGAGGAAGGUGGGGAUGACGUCAAAUCAUCAUGCCCCUUAUGAUUUGGGCUACACACGUGCUACAAUGGACAAUACAAAGGGCAGCGAAACCGCGAGGUCAAGCAAAUCCCAUAAAGUUGUUCUCAGUUCGGAUUGUAGUCUGCAACUCGACUACAUGAAGCUGGAAUCGCUAGUAAUCGUAGAUCAGCAUGCUACGGUGAACACGUUCCCGGGUCU